GAUGAACGCUGGCGGCGUGCCUAAUACAUGCAAGUCGAGCGAACGGACGAGAAGCUUGCUUCUCUGAUGUUAGCGGCGGACGGGUGAGUAACACGUGGAUAACCUACCUAUAAGACUGGGAUAACUUCGGGAAACCGGAGCUAAUACCGGAUAAUAUUUUGAACCGCAUGGUUCAAAAGUGAAAGACGGUCUUGCUGUCACUUAUAGAUGGAUCCGCGCUGCAUUAGCUAGUUGGUAAGGUAACGGCUUACCAAGGCAACGAUGCAUAGCCGACCUGAGAGGGUGAUCGGCCACACUGGAACUGAGACACGGUCCAGACUCCUACGGGAGGCAGCAGUAGGGAAUCUUCCGCAAUGGGCGAAAGCCUGACGGAGCAACGCCGCGUGAGUGAUGAAGGUCUUCGGAUCGUAAAACUCUGUUAUUAGGGAAGAACAUAUGUGUAAGUAACUGUGCACAUCUUGACGGUACCUAAUCAGAAAGCCACGGCUAACUACGUGCCAGCAGCCGCGGUAAUACGUAGGUGGCAAGCGUUAUCCGGAAUUAUUGGGCGUAAAGCGCGCGUAGGCGGUUUUUUAAGUCUGAUGUGAAAGCCCACGGCUCAACCGUGGAGGGUCAUUGGAAACUGGAAAACUUGAGUGCAGAAGAGGAAAGUGGAAUUCCAUGUGUAGCGGUGAAAUGCGCAGAGAUAUGGAGGAACACCAGUGGCGAAGGCGACUUUCUGGCCUGUAACUGACGCUGAUGUGCGAAAGCGUGGGGAUCGAACAGGAUUAGAUACCCUGGUAGUCCACGCCGUAAACGAUGAGUGCUAAGUGUUAGGGGGUUUCCGCCCCUUAGUGCUGCAGCUAACGCAUUAAGCACUCCGCCUGGGGAGUACGACCGCAAGGUUGAAACUCAAAGGAAUUGACGGGGACCCGCACAAGCGGUGGAGCAUGUGGUUUAAUUCGAAGCAACGCGAGGAACCUUACCAAAUCUUGACAUCCUUUGACAACUCUAGAGAUAGAGCCUUCCCCUUCGGGGGACAAAGUGACAGGUGGUGCAUGGUUGUCGUCAGCUCGUGUCGUGAGAUGUUGGGUUAAGUCCCGCAACGAGCGCAACCCUUAAGCUUGGUUGCCAUCAUUAAGUUGGGCACUCUAAGUUGACUGCCGGUGACAAACCGGAGGAAGGUGGGGAUGACGUCAAAUCAUCAUGCCCCUUAUGAUUUGGGCUACACACGUGCUACAAUGGACAAUACAAAGGGCAGCGAAGCCGCGAGGUCAAGCAAAUCCCAUAAAGUUGUUCUCAGUUCGGAUUGUAGUCUGCAACUCGACUACAUGAAGCUGGAAUCGCUAGUAAUCGUAGAUCAGCAUGCUACGGUGAAUACGUUCCCGGGUCU
rnacentral:rRNA from 1 species